UACGUAGGGUGCAAGCGUUGUUCGGAAUCACUGGGCGUAAAGCGCACGUAGGCGGCUUUUUAAGUCAGAGGUGAAAUCCUGGAGCUCAACUCCAGAACUGCCUUUGAUACUGGAGAGCUUGAGUCCGGGAGAGGUGAGUGGAACUGCGAGUGUAGAGGUGAAAUUCGUAGAUAUUCGCAAGAACACCAGUGGCGAAGGCGGCUCACUGGCCCGGUACUGACGCUGAGGUGCGAAAGCGUGGGGAGCAAACAGG
rnacentral:rRNA from 1 species